rnacentral:antisense_RNA from 1 species
UGGAAAUGUCAACCCACUGGUUGGAAUGGGAAGCUGCUGUGUUGUGAGCCACCUUAUGGAAAACCCAUGUGGCAGAGAACCGAGGGUGGUGGCUGGCCAACAGCAAGCCAGGAGCUGAGGCCCACAGUCCAACAACUGAGACUGGGUCCCACCAUAUUGCCUGGGCUGGCCUCAGACUCUUGACCCCAAGUGAUCCUCUGGCCUCAGCCUCCCAAGCAGCUGGACUUACAGGCAGGCACCACCGCACCGAGCUAAAAACUCCUGGCUUCCCUGGGCCUGCUGCACCUGCUCUGGCUAGGUUGGAGAGGGCUGCAGGGAGGACCGCAGUCAGCAGAGGGCGCCAAAGCCUCUCAACACACUCAUGGCCCAGGCCUGGCCCAGAAGGAGAGCGCUGAGAGCCAGGACUGGCGGGCUACGUGCGCCCUGUGGAUUCCCCCAUUUCCCAUGCUUCAUCCAGCCAUGGGCCUGCAGUGCACUCACAAAUGUGCAUAUACCCUCCUGUGUGUGUGUUACACUCAUCAAAUUGUCUCUGAAUUUGCUUGGCUUCAUGUGUUCCUGUGUGUGUUUAUGUGUAUGUGUGGUGUGUCUGGUGUAUCUGGUUCCCCAGGAAGCACAUUUGACAGCCCCACAGUCAGGGUCAGGGCACAGGGACAGAUACUGUGUCUAUAACAAUCCAUAACACUGAUUUUGUUCAUCUCAAUAAAUGUGAGAAUGAAAUAAAAAUUAAUGUAGAAU